CUUAGCAGCUUGCGUAGGGAAUUAACAAAUUGACGGGGUGGGGGCUCGUUUCUGGUUUAGCUUUUAGCCCAGAGUGAGUGGGAACCAGGAGGGGGUCGGGGAAGCUGAGUUGGGACCAGGUGGGACCAGCUAAAGCCCUCCCUGCCCAUUGCCGCGCCUAGGGGAAGCCCCAUGUCAUCAUGUGUCCCGUGUACCUUUUCCAAAAGGGCCAAGAGCCACCUCUAGAAACAGCCACAGGAGAAGUUUGCACCUCAGUUGUGCAGUUUGCAAGUUACAGUACAGGAGGCCACAUGCAUUACCCCAGAUGACAUGGCCAGUGUCACACGGGCCAAGAUGGGAAUGCAGAUACCCAGAGUGACCGGCAGCUCUCUUUCAUGAAGCUUUUCUUGGCUCUCUUCAGUGGGUUUGCCUUGAAGCUCCACGGUUUGUGGAUCUUAAAGAGCUCUUCUUCCCUUUCUUUCAACCCUACCACCCUUGUAUCUGAAUUCUUUGACCUACUAGGAGUGGAGGUAGAUGCAGUAACAUGCAUUUUUGCAAGCCUUGCAUCAACCUCAAUAUAUUGAAAUUCUCCUCGGCUUCAAAGAUUAUGUAGCUGCCCAGUUUUCUGAGAAACCACCUCCAGAUGGUUGGCCUGACUGUAUAGUUUGAUAAUGUCCCAGUUUCCACAGGAUAAGUGACAACACAGGUGAACAGAGAAAUGAUCGCCUUGGUGUAGCACCUUACAGCUUAGAACAGACUUUCACACACAUUAGCUCCAUUUGUGCUCACGAGAAAAUGUAAGGUGACAAGCCUACUUAAGGCCACCAGAGAUCCACCUACAGGGGAUGGAGCUGAUCCAACAGGCAAAGAGCAAACAAGCUCUUGAAAAGCGAAAAUCAACAAACAGGAAGGAGAAAUUAUCCAGAUGUUAUACAGCUGUGCUGCAAAGGGAAGUCACAGAGGCAGUGAAGGACUCAGCACAGAGUUGGGCCAAAGGGAUCACAGGGAAUAAAAAUUCCAAUCCCAGGCUGAGAGAGGGAAAGUCAGUGUACUUGGAGCAUCCGAGGAGUAGCAGCCACAAAGACCCCUCAUAGGAUGUGCAUCACAGAGUCCAGCUGAACACUCCUUUGUCCAGGAUUCUUUGCCCGGCCACUUGUUGAUUAGCAAUUUGGUUUGCUUUCUGUGUUCCUUUGCUGGAGGAACACAUCAAUACUGAAAACAGUCCUCAAGCCCCUUACCCCCCCUUAGAAGCUUGCCACCCCAAGACCUGCAGUCUGGAACCCAAGCUAAAUACAAGUUGACCUUGGGCAGCCUGGGAGUUGGGCGCCCAUUUCCCACACCAUCAAAAAUCCACCCAUGUCUUUUGACUCCCCCAAAACUUGACUGCUAAUGGCCUAUUGUGGACUGGAAGCCUUGCUGAUGACAUCGACAGUCGAUCAACACCUGGUUUGUAUGUUAUGUGUGAUAUACUUGUAAUACUGCUGUAUUAAAGUGAGCUGUGGAAAGGAAGAUGUCAUUAAGAAGAUCAUGAGGAAGGGACGCCUGGGUGGCUCAGCAGUUGGUACUCCAGAGUGGCUUCUAGGAACUAAAAGUGAUCCCUGGUCAACAGCCAGAAAAGUAGUGCGGCCCUCCAUCCUAGAGCUCCCAGAAACUGAAUUCUGCUGGCCACCUGAAUACCUUGCAAAAUGGUUUUUCUCCAAAGCCUCCAGAUCAGAAGCUCCUUAGGACCCAAGAUCUGGUUGGUUCCACUUGCUGGUGUUUCCUAGGAUCUAGAACGAUGUCUGGCACAUAGUCAAUUCUUAAUACAUACUUGGUAAACUAAUAUUAUCACUACUCCCAUCAUGAAAUUCAGAUCAACUACUUAUUAACUUCAACAGUUGUUCACAUAGUAUGCAAAAGAAGUCUGAAGAUAACGUGGCAUGAUCAAGAACAAAGAAGGAAAGAUGUCAGACAGUACCAACACACAAUACUAGCCUUUUUACCAGGCUCACAUAAGACAAUCACAGCUGCCCCGAGCAGAAGCACCAGCAUAACGGAGGAUGUGAUCAACAGGGCAGUCUUGGUAUGCUCACCGGCAGGCCCUAUUUCACUUGACUGAAGGAUACACUCCUCUGUUGGAAGAAGGGCAGAGAGGGGAAGGGUGGAGGAGAAGAAAUGGAAUGAGGAAAAUUAAUUUCUGAGAGGCGAGAAUAAAAGAGUAUGAGAGCACCAGGGAAAAAACUAGCAGGCUCUGUUGGAUGUACAAGUUAAAAUACAGGGAUCUGCAAGAACUGUGCGACCUAAAAAGAUUGUUUUGAAAUUUCCUCAGAAUUGAGAAUUCAACUAUUAGUUUUUCCUGGAACUAACCCCUGCGGGAUGAGUUCAGCGCUGCAGAACAACCCCUGGGGACAUCCAUGGUGUCAUCCACACAGGAAGAGGAAGCUGGAAAGACAUAGGAGGUUUUGGCUACCAGCUUUGAUUUUUAUUUCAAACAGUUUUGUGAGGAGGAUAAAUAAAAAGUUAAAUGUGUAAAGGUAAGGAAUGAGCUAAUUAUGGAGGAACCAACUGCAUACAAAGGUAAUAUUUGGCUUUAUCCCCACCCUGACCUGUUCAGUGCUUUGACAUAUUUAUUAUUUUUUUUUCUUAAAAGAUUUUAUUUAUUUAUUCAUGAGAGACAGAGAAAGAGAGAGAGAGGCAGAGACACAGGCAGAGAGAGAAG